AACUGGAUAGCUCAGUUGGCUAGAGCAUGGUGCUGAUAACGCCAAGGUUGCAGGUUCAGUCCCCAUUCUCCAAUGU